rnacentral:misc_RNA from 1 species
AAGUCGUAACAAGGUAACCGUAGGUGAACCUGCGGUUGGAUCAUUAAAAAAUUUGGAACUUUACUGUUCCCAACAUCUUGUGCACUAUAUCUGUCUCUGGCAGGCUCUUUGGUUCGCUAUCGAAAGUUGACUUUUGCUCACACCCUUUGCAAAGGGGGUGUGGCCCCGAAAGGGGAGGAGGGCAGGAGUUUAACACUAGUAGAUGAAGGAUCAAAUCCUGCCGCUGGAUUGGGAGGGUCAAAGCUCCCGGUCUUUGAAAUAAAACGUUCUGUUAAUUUUAAAGUCUGAUUCUGUUUCACCUCGUGUGAAAUUGAGAAAACAACUUUUGACAAUGGAUCUCUUGGCUCUC